GAUGAACGCUGGCGGCGUGCCUAAUACAUGCAAGUCGAGCGAACAGACGAGGAGCUUGCUCCUCUGACGUUAGCGGCGGACGGGUGAGUAACACGUGGAUAACCCACCUAUAAGACUGGGAUAACUUCGGGAAACCGGCGCUAAUACCGGAUAAUAUAUUGAACCGCAUGGUUCAAUAGUGAAAUACGGCUUUGCUGUCACUUAUAGAUGGAUCCGCGCCGCAUUAGCUAGUUGGUACGGUAACGGCUUACCAAGGCAACGAGGGGUAGCCGACCGGAGAGGCGGAUCGGCCACACUGGAACUUAGACACGGUCCAGACUCCUGCGGGAGGCCGCAGUAUGGAAUCUUCCGCAGUGGGCGGAAGCCUGGCGGAGCAACGCCGCGUGAGUGAUGAAGGUCUUCGGAUCGUAAAACUCUGUUAUUAGGUAAGAACAAAUGUGUAAGGAACUAUGCACGUCUUGACGGUACCUGGUCAGAAAGCCCCGGCUAACUACGUG
rnacentral:rRNA from 1 species